UCUCCUGAUGCCUUGUUAUGAACAGGGAG
rnacentral:piRNA from 1 species